rnacentral:rRNA from 1 species
UACGAAGGGGGGCUAGCGUUGCUCGGAAUCACUGGGCGUAAAGGGUGCGUAGGCGGGUCUUUAAGUCAGGGGUGAAAUCCUGGAGCUCAACUCCAGAACUGCCUUUGAUACUGAAGAUCUUGAGUUCGGGAGAGGUGAGUGGAACUGCGAGUGUAGAGGUGAAAAUUCGUAGAUAUUCGCAAGAACACCAGUGGCGAAGGCGGCUCACUGGCCCGGUACUGACGCUGAGGUGCGAAAGCGUGGGGAGCAACAGGGAUUAAGAAA